UAAAUUUAGUUAAUUGAAAUGGGACAAAAUUCGUUCCAUUGAUAAUCUGGCGAAUUUUUUUACAAAAUUUUUUUCAAAGUCCACAUUCCAAAAUAUUGUGUAUUGUAACUAGAUGAAUCGAAUUUAAAAAUGAUUUGAUUGAAGCAUGCAGUUAUCUAGAGCAUCUAAAAGUAUGCUAUAUAUAUAGUACGUAUGUGCAAUGUACUUUUCUUUCCUUCACUUAGGUUUUUAUUCCACUUGGUUUUUCCUAACAAGAUUUUUAACUAGAUAGCAUUAAGCGUGCCCAACGUGAUAUUGAUGAUCCAGACAAAGAUUAUACAAAUUUUUCUUCACGUGUUUUGCCUUUAUUCAGCUUAGUUUUGCUAGUAAGGUUCUAAUUACAGUUGGGAAUUUAUAACUAAAAAAAGAAAAGUCCUAAUCAGCUAAACCAAUCAUGUAUGUUCGGUUUGGUGUAUUUUUUAUUUUUAUUUUAUUUUAUAGAGUUUUGAAAUUGAAAAUUUUUUAUUUUUUAUAUUUACCUUCAUCCAUGAUAUCUCAUUUGAAGUCCCACUAAAUAUGUUAAUGCUAUCACGUCCUUCUGCAUUCUCUCAACCUUCCUCCUCUCUCUAUCUCCUCACCACUUGUCGUCAUUCGUCGCGUCGUUAAAGACCUCACCACGAUCUAUGACAAUCUCUCUUUAUAUCUCUUCCUCAUUCCUCCCAUCUUGUCAAAUGUGCUCCAAUUGUCCCAAAUAUCAUCGAAUAUAGUUUUUUUUUUAAUCAAAUAGAAACUUCAUUAGAUUAACUUCAACGGUACAAUCAAAGACAUCUAAAAUACCAAUCCCAAGAGGGCAACAAACUAACAUGCUAAAAGUAAAACUAAUGCAGACAAAAAUCGCACUAAAACUACGAGCCACAUCACCACAAUUAGCCAUAAGCCCAAACAAAGCCCACAAACCCAACAUAACCAAAACCCUAAAUUAACCCAUGAGCCUAAACGAACCCUACCACCACCACCUGAGUAAGCGUUGUUACGGCCACACCCACCACCGCAUCUGUAACAGAUCUGGGAAAAAUAUGAUUUUCAAUGAUCUACCUGUGCAUAAGAGCAAACAAAUAAACGAAAAC
rnacentral:lncRNA from 1 species